UACAGAGGUCUCAACCGUUGUUCGGAUUCAUUGGGCGUAAAGGGUGCGUAGGCGGUUGUGCAAGUCGGAUGUGAAAUCUCAGGGCUCAACCCUGAAACUGCAUUCGAUACUGCGUGGCUAGAGUGCUGGAGAGGAGACUGGAAUUUACGGUGUAGCAGUGAAAUGCGUAGAUAUCGUAAGGAAGACCAGUGGCGAAGGCGAGUCUCUGGACAGCAACUGACGCUGAGGCACGAAGGCCAGGGGAGCAAACGGG
rnacentral:rRNA from 1 species